rnacentral:rRNA from 1 species
UACGAAGGGGGGCGAGCGUUUGUUCGGAUUUACUGGGCGUAAAGGGCGCGCAGGCGGCGGAUCAAGUCAGACGUGAAAGCCCCGGGCUUAACCUGGGAACUGCGUUUGGGACUGAUUUGCUAGAGAUCGGGAGAGGAGAGUGGAAUUCCCAGUGUAGAGGUGAAAUUCGUGAGAUAUUGGGAAGAACACCGGUGGCGAAGGCGGCUCUCUGGACCGAUACUGACGCUGAGGCGCGGAAAGCGUGGGGAGCAAACAGG